CACGUGGGUAACCUGCCCUAAAGUGGGGGAUAACAUUUGGAAACAGAUGCUAAUACCGCAUAAACCUAACACCGCAUGGUGUAGGGUUGAAAGAUGGUUUCGGCUAUCACUUUGGGAUGGACCCGCGGUGCAUUAGUUAGUUGGUGAGGUAAAGGCUCACCAAGACCGUGACUGCAUAGCCGACCUAAGAGGGUAAUCGGCCACACUGGGACUGAGACACGGCCCCAGACUCCUACGGGAGGCAGCAGUAGGGAAUCUUCCACAAUGGACGAAAGUCUGAUGGAGUCAACGCCGCGUGAGUGAAGAAGGUUUUCGGAUCGUAAACUCUGUUGUUGGAGAAGAAUGUAUCUGAUAGUAACUGAUCAGGUAGUGACGGUAUCCAACCAGAAAGCCACGGCUAACUACGUG
rnacentral:rRNA from 1 species